GAGUUUGAUCAUGGCUCAGGACGCACUCUGGCGGCGUGCUUAACACAUGCAAGUCGAACGGUAAGGCCCUUCGGGGUACACGAGUGGCGAACGGGUGAGUAACGCGUGAGUAACCUGCCCUUCACUCUGGGAUAACAGUUGGAAACGGCUGCUAAUACCGGAUAUUCAGCUCCUGUCGCAUGGUGGGGGUUGGAAAGUUUUGGUGGUGGAGGAUGGGCUCGCGUCCUAUCAGCUUGUUGGUGGGGUGAUGGCCUACCAAGGCGUCGACGGGUAGCCGGCCUGAGAGGGCGACCGGCCACAUUGGGACUGAGAUACGGCCCAAACUCCUACGGGAGGCAGCAGUGGGGAAUAUUGCACAAUGGGCGGAAGCCUGAUGCAGCAACGCCGCGUGCGGGAUGACGGCCUUCGGGUUGUAAACCGCUUUCAGCAGGGACGAAGCGUGAGUGACGGUACCUGCAGAAGAAGCACCGGCUAACUACGUGCCAGCAGCCGCGGUGAUACGUAGGGUGCGAGCGUUGUCCGGAUUUAUUGGGCGUAAAGAGCUUGUAGGCGGUUGGUUGCGUCGAAAGUGCNAACUCAGGGCUUAACUCUGAGCCUGCUUUCGAUACGGGCUGACUGGAGGAAGGUAGGGGAGAAUGGAAUUCCCGGUGGAGCGGUGGAAUGCGCAGAUAUCGGGAGGAACACCAGUGGCGAAGGCGGUUCUCUGGACCUUUUCUGACGCUGAGAAGCGAAAGCGUGGGGAGCAAACAGGCUUAGAUACCCUGGUAGUCCACGCUGGUAACGGUGGGUACUAGGUGUGGGGGACAUUCCACGUUCUCUGUGCCGUAGCUAACGCAUUUAGUACCCCGCCUGGGGAGUACGGCGGCAAGGUUAAAAUUCAAAGGAAUUGACGGGGCCCCGCCCAAGCGGCGGAGCAUGCGGAUUAAUUCGAUGCAACGCGAAGACCCUUACCUGGGUUUGACAUAUAUCGGAAACGUUCAGAGAUGGGCGCCCCGUAAGGUCGGUAUACAGGUGGUGCAUGGCUGUCGUCAGCUCGUGUCGUGAGAUGUUGGGUUAAGUCCCGCAACGAGCGCAACCCU
rnacentral:rRNA from 1 species